UGGACUACUGGGGUUUCUAAUCCUGUUUGCUCCCCACGCUUUCGCACCUCAGCGUCAGUACCGGACCAGUGAGCCGCCUUCGCCACUGGUGUUCUUCCUAAUAUCUACGAAUUCCACCUCUACACUAGGAGUUCCACUCACCUCUUCCGGACUCUAGAUUGCCAGUAUGAAAGGCAGUUCCAGGGUUGAGCCCUGGGAUUUCACCCCUCACUUAACAAUCCGCCUACGUGCGCUUUACGCCCAGUAAAUCCGAACAACGCUAGCCCCCUUCGUAUUACCGCGGCGGCUGGCAC
rnacentral:misc_RNA from 1 species